CCAUGUUGGCAACUCUUCUCCCAGCUUUUGUCGAAAAAAAAGAAAAAAAAACUCUUCUCCCGGCUCCUCUUCUCUGCCUCCCUCUCUCUCAUCUCUUCCACGGCUCUACCCACCUCCACCCACUGCUCUCGCCCAACAUCUCCAAGCUUUGUUUCGACAGAAAAUUUGAACCUCUUGUAUUGGUUUAAAGGAGGACAGAGAAACUAGAUCUGUGUUUCUCUCUCUCCUCCGACACCCACUUCCGGUCACCACCGUGACUCACCUCCACCACCAAGGACUUCACCGACCUCCGACGAGUUCAACGCAGCCUCCUUGACAUCUGGCAGCAAUCCACGCGCCCGCGCCGGGGCCGGCGAGGCCAAGAUCUGAUUUGGGCACCCAUAGCGCCCUCCCAUCGUCUCCGCCUCCCUCCCUGACCUCAAAUCCACCGUCCAUUUCCUCACCUCCAUGGGCUUCUCUACCCCCGAAUUUCGCCGCCUCGUCGGCAUGUGCCCCGAAAUCCCCCCCUGGUUCUCCGAUCUCAACCGCGUCAUAAACCGACGACCCGGAUUGCUCGCCUCCAGCGUUAAGCACCGCAUAUACUGGAAGUAUCAGAUUAUAAUUAAGGAUAGUUUUGUAGGAAUAAAGCUACAAUAUAGCAGGAGGUGGUUUUCUUGUGGGAUAAAGUUUGUAUUAUUAUGCUUUGUGGGUAUCAGAUUUCUCUGAACGUUCAUUGAAAACAACUCCAGAGGAUUCUGCAUUUGUUGAACGGAAUUGGAUUUUGAUGCCCAGAUUCAGAACUCAAAUGUGACAAGGUUGAUUGCCCUAUGAGUACAACUAUUUACUUCUUGCUGCCAGCUAGGAAUGUUGCAAGCCUUCAUUGCAUACUGUGUGCAGAAACAUGGCAUUUCUACCUGGGAGAACCUCUUAUGGAGACAACGAAGAAGAGGAUGAUAUGUUAGGGCAAAGCUCAAGAGGCAUCACAGAGUACUCCUCGAGUCAUACAAGUAACUUUGAAUGACAAGCUUUGUACGAGGAUUAAUGAUAUAGAAGACAUCGAUACCUUGAUUUUCAUGGAUCACCACUUGGGAAGUAUCUUUUGUACAUGUAAUUAAGCAACUAAAUAUCUUCCAAGAUAUUUUUGUUUUUGCAAUUGAGGAACUAUGUAUGUAUAUUAUAACUAAGCUUUAUUUAAUACAAGUCCGACAGUGUUAUUGAUCAA